rnacentral:rRNA from 1 species
UACAGAGGUCCCAAGCGUUGUUCGGAUUCACUGGGCGUAAAGGGUGCGUAGGUGGCGAGGUAAGUUUGAUGUGAAAUCUCCGGGCUUAACCCGGAAACUGCAUUGAAUACUAUCUUGCUCGAGGUUUGGAGGGGGGACUGGAAUUCUCGGUGUGGCAGUGAAAUGCGUAGAUAUCGAGAGGAACACCAGUGGCGAAGGCGAGUCCCUGGACAACACCUGACACUGAGGCACGAAAGCUAGGGGAGCAAACAGG